UACAGAGGGUGCGAGCGUUAAUCGGAGUUACUGGGCGUAAAGGGCGCGUAGGCGGUCAUUUAAGAUUGAUGUGAAAUCCCUGGGCUUAACCUAGGAACUGCAUUGAUUACUGGAUGGCUGGAGUACUGUAGAGGGUAGUGGAAUUUCCGGUGUAGCGGUGAAAUGCGUAGAGAUCGGAAGGAACACCCAGUGGCGAAGGCGGCUACCUGGACAGAUACGUGACGCUG
rnacentral:rRNA from 1 species